CAGGAUAGUGUGGUCUUUGUGAGCUUCCACCAUGGCGUAUCGGGGCCAGGGCCAGAAGGUGCAGAAGGUGAUGGUGCAGCCAAUCAAUCUCAUCUUCAGAUACUUGCAAAAUAGAUCUCGGAUUCAGGUCUGGCUUUAUGAGCAAGUGAAUAUGCGGAUAGAGGGCUGUAUCAUUGGUUUUGAUGAGUAUAUGAACCUCGUAUUAGAUGAUGCAGAAGAGAUUCAUUCUAAAACAAAGUCAAGAAAACAACUGGGUUGGAUCAUGCUAAAAGGAGGUAACAUUACUCUGCUCCAAAGUGUCUCCAACUAGAAAUGAUCAAUGAAGUGAGAAAUUGUUGAGAA